GAANUCCAGGGNAGGGUGAAAGCUUAGANAUNUGGAGGAAUACCGGGNGGGNAGGCGCCCCCNGGACAAAGAAUGANGCUCAGGUGCGAAAGCGUGGGAGCAAACAGGAUUAGAUACCCUGGUAGUCNACGCGGUAAACNAUGUNGACUNGGAGNUUGUGCCCUUGAGGCGUGGCUUCCGGAGCUAAACGCGUUAAGUCGACCGCCCGGGGGAGUACGGCCGCAAGGUUAAAACUCAAAUGAAUUGACGGGGGCCCGCACAAGCGGUGGAGCAUGUGGUUUAAUUCGAUGCAACGCGAAGAACCUUACCUACUCUUGACAUCCAGAGAACUUUCCAGAGAUGGAUUGGUGCCUUCGGGAACUCUGAGACAGGUGCUGCAUGGCUGUCGUCAGCUCGUGUUGUGAAAUGUUGGGUUAAGUCCCGCAACGAGCGCAACCCUUAUCCUUUGUUGCCAGCGGUCCGGCCGGGAACUCAAAGGAGACUGCCAGUGAUAAACUGGAGGAAGGUGGGGAUGACGUCAAGUCAUCAUGGCCCUUACGAGUAGGGCUACACACGUGCUACAAUGGCGCAUACAAAGAGAAGCGACCUCGCGAGAGCAAGCGGACCUCAUAAAGUGCGUCGUAGUCCGGAUUGGAGUCUGCAACUCGACUCCAUGAAGUCGGAAUCGCUAGUAAUCGUAGAUCAGAAUGCUACGGUGAAUACGUUCCCGGGCCUUGUACACACCGCCCGUCACACCAUGGGAGUGGGUUGCAAAAGAAGUAGGUAGCUUAACCUUCGGGAGGGCGCUUACCACUCG
rnacentral:rRNA from 1 species